UAAUUAGUGUCCUUUCAAUUUCCACCGUUCACAUAAAACAACUGCAAACUUUAGGCUUCUCGAUGCAUACCCGGAAUAAAUGUAGGUUUCUCGAUUUUGUUCUAAUCUUUCUCGAUGCAUACAACGAAUCCUUCCAGUGUAAUUACCCUCACGUCUUAUUAAAUUUGGUCUAAUUUCGUUCAAUUAUCAAAGGCGAUUUCGAUAUCGCUUCAAAACCCAAAACCCUCUCCACCAACCCUUCUUCAUUCGUAUUCACUAACCAUCAUCUCCAACCCCAACAACAACAAAAACAAUUUCAAUUACCACAAGUUUUCGAAUGCUCUGUUUAUUUCUCACCUCCCGAGAGCUUUCUCAAAGACCCACUACUUCCUUUCUCGAAUCUUCCCCUCCUAAACCAUGUUUCAAUGACAUGGAUAUCGAAAUUGAUCAAUUUAAGAAAAAACAGAGGGAGUCGGGACGUCCUUCGCAGUAGAUUGCUAAUGUUGUAUACUUUACAUAUUCUUUGGUAUAGAUUAUGAGAGUAGGUGAAAUGUUGGCAAUGGCGUGCCUGUUAUAAUUUCUUUGCAAGCUUUCAGGAAAAGGAGCCCCUCAAGUUAAAGAAAGAAAGAGGUUCAUCCCAAAUUCGUGUCUUCCGAGAAUGAAGAAGAUGAUGUUGGUACUAAAUGUUUGAAAAGCAUAGACAACAAAAUGAAGGAAAUACUCCAAACUCCGACACCGGAAUCAAAGAUGAAUGUUGAAGCAACAUCGAAAUCCUUAGAGGAAAUAGUUUGAGUUCAGAGAGACUUUCAAGAACAAAAAUCCUACCAACAAAUAUGUUGAUCACAAGUGCGGCUACUUAACACUAUAUGUGUAAUUCCCAUUUCAAUCUUUGUGUGGCUGCAAAUGAUGAGAUACUGCAUUGAAAAUGUUGUUGGUUGAGUUUCUUUUUUUUUUUAAAACUUGGUAAACUGCUGCUUCCAUUUUUUUAGUAUCAUCUGUAAUUGUUACUCUCAUAAUAUUAUAUAACUUAUAAUCUUGGCACUGGUUUUUCUUAAAUUAUUUGGUUACAUAUAACUUUGGCAGGAUUUAUGUUCUUACUAAUAUCUGUGUUGCUACCACUGCGAAGGUAAGUUGGUUUUUGGAAAACAAAUUGUUAUGAGUUAUGGGAAAGAUUACACAUCUCUGAUGCCCUAUCACCGGAGCCUUCAAAUUCAUAAGUAACAAACUUAUCCAAAGCAUUUUAACAUUUAGUUGCUCCAUCUCCAUCUCCAUCCCAUGAUAAUAUUGAUCAAGGUGAACUCCAAAUUGCUCAAAUAGCUCAUGAGUUAGAUGUUAAUACAUCACAGGUUAGAAAAUGGGUCACCAAGGUGCAAAUAAUCCAUCUCCAUCCCAUGAUAAUAUUGAUCAAGGUGAACUCCAAAUUGCUCAAAUAGCUCAUGAGUUAGAUGUUAAUACAUCACAGGUUAGAAAAUGGGUCACCAAGGUGCAAUAAUUAUUGGGGCUUAGUUAUAGCUUUAGGUAUAAUUUAUUAUUUUGAUGCUAAAAGGAAAUGGUUACUUCUGAUGUUCAGAAUCACAAGGUCUUUUUGAUGAGUCUGUAGUGAAAUAUUUUUUCAUUUAUUGGUUAGGGUCAUGUGUUGUAUGACAUGUCUUAUAUGGAGUAAGUCUUGAUUUCGAAAAUGUCAUGUUUAUUAUACUGUUUCCGCUUAUCUAUUUUACAGUUAUGUGUUCAUCAUUAUCUUUGUUGAUAUAGCUUUUUAUGUCUACAGGCCAUGUAUAAUAUAAUUUCAACAGCCAAAGAGAAAGGAAUUCUCACACCAAAGAGAAUUUUGUAAAGCUUUGGAAUUUUUCUUUUGGAAUUACUUACCGGAAGAAAGAAUCUCGAUAGUCAUCAUCCUAAAGAAGAGUGGAAUUUAGUCAAAUGAAGCAGACCUUUCUUAGCUGAUAAAAUUGUUGUUUGAAUGAAUGAAAUGUUUGUGGCUGUCAAUUGAAAAAAAGUUUUAUAUGGAAGUUAUACAAUUCGUAGGUUUAUAAGGUGGAAAGAUAUUCAUUGUUAGGUGUUUAUAGGGUGGAGGUAAUUCUCUUGAAAUAUAUUCAAAAUAAUUAGCGUUUGCCAGACA